rnacentral:misc_RNA from 1 species
UUCAAUCGGUCGCUCGUUGGCAGAACAUCGAAGGCUCGGAUCGUGACGCUUUUUGCCCGAACGUUUUUUGCACGAGUUUUUUCCAUACGUAUUUGUUCAUUGACAAAAACUCAAGCUGCGCUCUGUGCGUGCGUGUGUAUAUGUGUGUGCGAGUGAGUGUGUGUGCCGGCGCGUCUGUGUGAGUGCGGUGCUUUGUGUGCAGAAUAAUUUUUGCAAACAUUAUGUAAAUGCGCAAAUUAAAGUUCAAUCGACGCCCGUUUUGACUACGAAACCAGAUCGCCUUGCUUUAAGUGCCACGGAGCAACAGUUUUUUCCAACCCAAUUUUUGCCUCAGUAGGCAGGUACGCACACAAACACACACAGGAUCUCAAACGAUCCGCCGGAUAUACCUUUACCGUUACUAAAAAUCCAAAAUGGCCACGACAGCGGCCGCAAUGGCCGCAACGAGUGUAGUUGUUCUGGAUCGCGGAAACAAUACAACCUGCACCAUCAACUUGCACGGUGCGACGGUCGUGUCCUGGCGGGUAAACAAUCAGGAGCAGUUGUUUGUCAGCAAACUAGCCUCAUUCGAUGGCAAGAAGGCGAUACGCGGUGGGAUUCCCUUUGUCUUCCCUCAGUUCGGCGCGUGGUCCUUUGGGCCACAGCAUGGAUUUGCGAGGAUUACCAGGUGGCACCUGGAGAGACCGCCAGACAGGCUGCACAAUGGCGAUGUGGAGGCCAUAUUCUCGCUGAUGGACAACGACUUUACGCGAUCCAUAUGGAACUAUCAGUUUCGCAUCACUUAUAGGCUGAUCCUGCGCGAAAAGGAGCUGCACUUCCACAUCGGCGUCUACAAUCCCAGCAAGGAGCUGAGCUUCACCUUCAACAUGCUGCUGCACACCUACCUAAAGGUGCCCGAUGUGCGGCGAUGUCAGAUCACCGGCCUCCAGGGCUGCCACUUCAUCGACAAGACGCGGGAGAAUGCGCUCUAUCAGGAGGGACGCGAGGUGGUCACCGUCAAUGAGUGGACCGACAGGAUCUACCAGCACACGCCGCAGGAGCACGUCAUCACAAAUGUGGUGUCCGGUAGGAAGAUGAGACUGCACAAGUACAAUUUUCCCGAUACGGUCAUCUGGAAUCCAUGGGUCGAUCGAUCGCGUGAGAUGAGUGACUUCGGGGACGACGAGUUCCCCAACAUGCUGUGCGUGGAGGCGGGGAAUGUGACAUCGCCGGUGAUCCUGCUGCCGGGCACCGCUUUCGAGGCCAGCCAGAUCCUUCAGCAAUUCAAGUGUCCCUAUACCAUAGACCCAUCCAGCUGCAGGAAGAAAAACUAUCUAACCAACUUCUUACAAAACGACUAGAGUCGAUCAAGCCACCUCCAUAUUCCAAUUCAAAUUCUUUACUUUGCAUGCUAUCAGAUUAUCAUCGAGGGCAAUGUUAGUCGCAAGACCAAGCGGAAUCGCUAGCGUUUAAAGAAUCGGAACCCGAUGAGGUAAACCGAUUCGCAACCAUGUCAAAGCGCACUUUUCCACAGAUGAGCGAGCAUCUGCGUCCGGAGCAGCUGGCGGAGAAUCAGGAUGAGCAGAAGGAGGAUGGUUGUUCCCGCACGGUCUCUAGACUCUAAUCUAUCUCUUAAUUUGUGCCUACUUAAAGGAAAAUGUGCAUUGAUAGUAGUUACAUUAAGUUUUACGGAUCAGGAAGUGAAUGAGCUGAAUCUUAAGAGUAUGAGACGAUCCCCUAAAAAGUAGCAUUAAAUCUUGGUUACCAUACAAGAUAUCUGCGUCCAUUGUGAUGACCUCACUUUUUGCUUCGGAAUCUUACCUACUCAGCAAAAAUACACGAACUAAAGUUAUGAGCAAUGGGCACUACUAGCUCUGGUCAGCACCCAAUAAAGAAGUUGUAUACGAUUGAAUAUAGAUAACUUACAUAAUGUUUUAAACCUAAUAUGUGUAAUAUACUAAAAGCAAUUAUAUGUACCAAUUAAUUAAAUAAUCAAUGUAAUUGUAACUUUAAAAUCAAAAGGAUGUACUUGAAACUUUGCAGAUUACAAAUAUUUCACAGUA